rnacentral:misc_RNA from 1 species
CCGCUGAAGAUUUACUGGCCGCACCAAUCUCCUUUAUGGUGUCGAAAUAUUGUGUUAUGAGGAUCAUGUCGAGAACAUCCUUUGAUGUUGUCCCUGGUACAUUAACAGAAAAGCCAAGUCUUAGACCAUCCACGAUUGCUUGGCGCUGUCUGGCAAUACCAAGUCCUGAUAGGUACUUGGAUUCAGCCUCACCCUCUGCUCGCUUGAUUUGAACGAUCUUCUCUGCCUCUGCUUUCUCAUUAGCUGCUACCCUUAAUCUGGCAGCUGCCCAAGUUCAAGAAUUUAAUCAGAAAAUUAGUUCAAAUUUUAAGUCACCAUUUUUUUCUUGUUUAG